CCUGAUCCUCCAAAUGUCUGGAAACAAGGCAUCCAUGGCUCUGGACUUCUUCCUUGAUGCUGCAAAGAAACCUGACUUUACAUCCAGCCUCCAAAGAUGAUCUUGACAUUGUUAGAACAGCCCUUCACUGUGAAUGGAAGACUGUCAACCCCUCAUGAGGACGAUGAGAGGUUCCAUUUUUCCAGGUGUGGAUCAUGCUGGAGUACAGUGAAGUGAAUAAGCUCCAUAUAUCAUUCAUAUUAAACCAUUACAAGAAAUUGAGUUGUAAUAGCUUUACUGAAGAGGGGGAA